CCCAGUAUAUGUUUUAUGUUCAAGAUGACACCAUGUACAUUGCUGCUGGGGCAGGAGGUGGCAUCAUGAUCCUCAUCAUAAUCGUUAUCUGUGUAUGUGUUGUUAGAAGGAGAAGAACGGUAAACGUCACGCAAGCUAUCAGCGAUGCAGACAAUGGUGCAGAGCUUUCAGAAAACCCAACUUAUGUUAGAAAUCAAGAUGAAGCAGCUGACAACAAAGAGCUCUUAACUAGUAAGUCUUCACAGUUGUGGUGUUCUUCACUUCCUCACAUAUCUGACUACUGUAUUUGAGUGGUGAUUAUA